GUUGGUUGAAUAUGAGGCGGAGAGAGCGGCGACGAGGCCGGGUUGUCUCGUCGGAUCGGAGAGAUCGGCGACGAGGUCGGGCCGUCUCGUCGGGGCGGAGACAUCGGCGACAGUGGCAAAUUGACGAAUCGGUAGUGACCGGCGGCGAAUCAGUGGGUUCUUCGGCGGCAAGACCUGGUGCUGGCCUUGCUUCCCUUCGCAUCGAGCUGAUCAAAUCAUUGUUCUCGCAAGCCUAAUUCAUCUGUCCCCAGCUUGAAGGUAUUUGUAGUGGUUCUGCAGGGUCCUGCAGGUUCACUGCAGGGGCGUAUAGUCUCACAUUGCUGCCUCUCCAGGACUCUUUCAACCCACUUAAUUAGCCUCUUGGUGUUUUUAGUGUUAUCUUUGCCGUGAAUGUUUCUGAAUAGCUUAAAUAUUGAGAAGUCAAUUACAUGUUUAAUUAGUUCCCAUUUCCUGUGCAUUGGUUUAUGAUGAAUCUCCGGUUUUUUAAGUAAAUAAUUUUAGAGAAGCAUUAUUGUUGACCAAAUUUUUAGAAUUUCGAUUUUCAACUUGAAAAUAGAUUCCAUUGUUCUUUGCCAAAUUUCUGGAGCAUUGACUUGUUACUAUUUUCUGGAGGCAGUGCCACUUGCAUUUUGUGAUAGCUAUGCUGUUUAAAGUUGCCUCACACUACUCCUUGCAACGGCUUUAUGCAUGUUCCAGCAUUUUCCUUUUGUGAUGCAAACUUCUAUUUUACCGAUUUACUGUAGUUUACAACUGCGGUGUAAGCUUUUUGGUCGUUUGCUGCUUAACAGAAGUGACAACUGCAAAAUAUCUGCAUGACUGCAUGUGUAUUUGCUUUUGUUCAGCUGAAAGUAUUGCUGAUUAGUUUUGUGGUUUCGUCCAUCUCAAGUAAACUAAACUAAAUAGUGUGGGUAUAUGUUACUUGUACCAAUCAUUGCCUGGCUGUCAGAAACUAGGUGUUAAAAGAAAACAGUUUGAUUCUGCUCGUCUUCACAGUUUUGCUUGUUGAAUUGUUGCUUGCCACAUGAAAGUUUUAUUGGCACAGCAUGGGAACCUAAGCCUUUCAAUGGUUGGGAUGAGCCUACACUAUGCACUUUGUUUUCCUGAGCUUUGUCGACUCGCUCUACAAUUCUGAUUGGUAUUUUUGUUUAUUUCUCUCCUUGUACAAUAUGUAGAAAAUAUAGUGGGUUUAGAUUCAGUUUGGGGAUUCAUAGUCUACUAGCAUACCAUUUUGUACCAGGGGUGAGCUAAAUUUUCCAUUGUGUGCAGCCACUUAUUACUUUAUGAAUUUUAAUUAUUGAAAUUGUGAAUUAAUUAGGGAGCUUUUCUGUCUUAUGACAAUACAAGAUAUCUUUUAUUGUACACUGAUUUUUACACUGUAGUAUAUUUGUGAGAUAUAGUGGACAACCUGUAUAGUACAUUCAUUAUUUUUCAAGUGUUGCAGCGCUCUUGUGUCUUUGGUUUGGGAGCUAGCAGCUAUGCUCGCCAGGUGUUUGACGACAUUCCACAUUUCCAUGGGGCAGGAGAAAGGUAGGCUACCAUUGAAUAACUAACGUAUUAUGGAACCAGGGAUCUCAAGUUUUACCGUUGGCACUACAGAGCUUUAUUAGUGAGGGCUUUGCUGUGGAUAUACAUCCAGCUGCCAAAAUCGGUGAGGGAAUAUAGUUGGAUCAUGGAACAGGUCUAGUCAUUGGUGAAACUGCUAUAUUUAGAAAUUGGGUUUCAUUAAUGCAGGUGCUGUCCAACAACCAAAUGUUUGCUGCUGUUAAUAGAGUAUGAUUUUGAGAGAACUAGUCUCAACAUGAGCAAUCAGCAGAGAACCACUAUUCUUUGGCAAGCACAACCUUUUCCAUGACAAAUCACCAGUAAGGCAUACUUAGCAUGAUGGCUGAGUAUAUAUUUCCUUGACAUGGGCUACAAAGUGUGAUGGCUGACUCCACCUCCUGACGGGUUGAGGCAUUGCAUGAGAUCUCAAGGCAUUUGGUGAAAGGUCUGAGAACUCGAGGAGCAGGCAAAGCUCUGAACAAGGCAUUGGGCGACUGGAAUAGGAGGUCUGCAAAAGGAGUAGAGUUCAUCAGUUGAGGGAAGGGACAACUCAGGAGGGAGCACACUAUGUCGAGAUCAAAAGGAGUUUUCAGGAUGAUGCGCCCAGAUAAGCUGUGUGAACUGAAGUCAAAAGCUUUUUGGAGGGAACUGGUCCUCCUGCCUCGUGAGAAUUUCACAUAUCUAUGCAUUGGAGAGGGUCAAACUUGUGCUGGCAUGGUCAUUCAACAAGAAGGUGUUAGAUCAACAUAUGCUUACUGUUCGAGUUUUGGAACAUCUUGUUGGAUCAAAAAAGAUCCCAGAUUACUGUAUCGUUGUUGAUCCUUCAUGCAACUAUGGGUUCAUUCUAUGCCCUGAUGAGGACAAGACUUCGAGGCUUCGAGGCCAUUAUGUCAAAGUUGGAGACGAGAAGAUCUUCAAUGUUGUUUCCAAUACUGGGUGUCUGCCUUUUCUUGAAGAUGUCAAUCAGCAUCCCAUAGGCAAGAAGAUGAUUUGCUUUUUGGUUCUCAAAACCUAAAUAUCAGAAGCUGACAGAUGCUAGGAGUCUGCGCUGCUUUUUCUUUUGUUAUAUCAUUUGACCUGUUAGCCUACCCCAACUUGCUUGGGAUUGAAAGGCUUUGUUGUUGAUGUAUUUGACCUGUAGCAGCAAACUGGCAUUCAACUAUCUAACUUGUCGGUGAAACAUAAUGUUUAAGUGCUAUUUUUU